AUUGAACGCUGGCGGCAGGCCUAACACAUGCAAGUCGAACGAGUGGCGGACGGGUGAGUCAUGUAUGGGAAACUGCCUGCUGGAGGGGGAUAACUACUGGAAACGGUAGCUAAUACCGCAUACCAUUGGAUGUGCCCAGGUGGGAUUAGCUGGUAGGUGGGGUAAAGGAUCACCUAGGCGACGAUCCCUAGCGGGUCUGAGAGGAUGACCAGCCACACGGGGACUGAGCAACGGUCCAGACUCCUACGGGAGGCAGCAGUGGGGAAUAUUGCACAAUGGGCGCAAGCCUGAUGCAGCCAUGCCGCGUGUAUGAAGAAGGCCUUCGGGUUGUAAAGUACUUUCAGCAGGGAGGCGGUACCCGCAGAAGAAGCACCGGCUAACUCCGUGCCAGCAGCCGCGGUAAUAC
rnacentral:rRNA from 1 species